UACAGAGGGGGCAAGCGUUGUUCGGAAUUACUGGGCGUAAAGGGCGCGUAGGCGGCCUGUUAAGUCGAACGUGAAAUCCCUGGGCUCAACCCAGGAACUGCGUCCGAUACUGGCAGGCUUGAAUCCGGGAGAGGGAUGUGGAAUUCCAGGUGUAGCGGUGAAACGCGUAGAUAUCAGGAAGAACACCCGUGGCUAAGGCGGUUCUCUAGUACGGUACUGACGCUGAGACGCGAAAGCGUGGGGAGCGAACAGG
rnacentral:rRNA from 1 species